rnacentral:sRNA from 1 species
AACCUAAUUUUCUAGGGUUCCGCAGAUGAUAAGUUAUUAUCUGGUCUGGACCAAGAGAAAAUGCGCGUUUUCCACAACGUGUACACGGAGGGAUAAAAGCCCGGGAGGA